rnacentral:rRNA from 1 species
AGAGUUUGAUUCUGGCUCAGGAUAAACGCUGGCGGUGUGCUUUAUGCAUGUAAGUCGAACGGGUUCCGCAAGGAACCAGUGGCGGACGGGUGAGUAACGCGUAAAUGACCUGCCCUAAAGUGGGGAACAACUCCUAGAAAUGGGAGCUAAUACCGCAUACGGUCCUUCUUGUAAAGGGGAAGGACGAAAGUCGUAAGACGCUUUUGGAGGGGUUUGCGCCCGAUUAGUUAGUUGGUGAGGUAACGGCCCACCAAGACGACGAUCGGUAGCUGGUUUGAGAGGACGACCAGCCACACGGGGACUGAGACACGGCCCCGACUCCUACGGGAGGCAGCAGCAAGGAAUAUUGGGCAAUGGGCCGAAAGCCUGACCCAGCGACACCGCGUGAGGGAAGAAGACCUUCGGGUUGUAAACCUCUUUUAUUAGGGAAGAAUAAUGACGGUACCUGAUGAAUAAGCCCCGGCUAACUACGUGCCAGCCGCCGC